rnacentral:lncRNA from 1 species
UGGUGGUAGCUCUUUCAAUUACUGUUGUCACUGUUCUACAGUCUGUUGAAGACUGAACAGCUUCAGUGAGUGUCUUCACCUUAGCCUUGAGUUUUACCUCGGUUUGAUUUUGACUUCGGAUUAGAUAUUUUGAGACCGCUGUCUUGCAAGAAGAGAAUAGAUGAUGCUGUUGCUAUUGCUGUGUUUGCUGGAGGCUACCUUCG